rnacentral:rRNA from 1 species
UACGAGAGGCCCAAACGUUAUUCGGAAUUACUGGGCUUAAAGAGUUCGUGAGGCGGCAUUGCAAGUAGGGUGUGAAAGCCCUCGGCUCAACCGAGGAAUUGCGCUCUAAACUGCAGUGCUUGAGGACCUAGAGGUGAGCAGAACAGAUGGUGGAGCGGUGAAAUGCGUUGAUAUCAUCUGGAAUACCGGAGGCGAAGGCGGCUCACUGGGAGUUUCUGACGCUGAGGAACGGAAAGCCAGGGUAGCGAACGGG